rnacentral:pre_miRNA from 1 species
AAGAAAUGUGGCAUGCCCGUUAUGGUUACUCUGAUGAUUGAUGUAUUAUUAUUAUUUUAAUUGAUUUUGGGAAACGGGGUGUUACAUUUUG